UGGGGAAUUUUGGACGAUGGGCGCANCCNUGAUCCAGCAAUGCCGCGUGCAGGAAGAAGGCCUUCGGGUUGUAAACUGCUUUUGUCGGGGAAGAAAUCUUCUGGGCUAAUACCCCGGGAGGAUGACGGUACCUGAAGAAUAAGCACCGGCUAACUACGUGCCAGCAGCCGCGGUAAUACGUAGGGUGCGAGCGUUAAUCGGAAUUACUGGGCGUAAAGCGUGCGCAGGCGGCUUUGCAAGACAGAUGUGAAAUCCCCGGGCUCAACCUGGGAACUGCAUUUGUGACUGCAAGGCUAGAGUACGGCAGAGGGGGAUGGAAUUCCGCGUGUAGCAGUGAAAUGCGUAGAUAUGCGGAGGAACACCAAUGGCGAAGGCAAUCCCCUGGGCCUGUACUGACGCUCAUGCACGAAAGCGUGGGGAGCAAACAGGAUUAGAUACCCUGGUAGUCCACGCCCUAAACGAUGUCAACUGGUUGUUGGACGGCUUGCUGUUCAGUAACGAAGCUAACGCGUGAAGUUGACCGCCUGGGGAGUACGGCCGCAAGGUUG
rnacentral:rRNA from 1 species